UCGAAUGUGGUGUAUGGUGCACGGCCCUGCCUUAUCAUAAGGGAGUGUUGUAUCUCCGGGCAGGACGGGGUUCAACUCCCUGCAUUCGAA